GGCCCAUAAGGCCCAAUCCACAGAGACAAACAAUCAAACCCUAAUAAUCAGACAUCCGCCUCUUUCAUUCUAAUUUUCCACUCUCAAUUUCCACGCGGCUGUACUAGGGGCGGCAAUCAGACCUCCGCCUCUUCAUUAUUUCGCAUCCACAAAUCGAAUCUAGUAUCAAAUUUGCAAGCCAAGCGCAUCAAAUCCUCAAAUCGACUCAAAUCCAAGCCAAGCGCAUCAAAUCUUGAAAGAUUAAUGGAGAGUGAAAGCGAAAAUCAAAACGAAAAUGUUGAUGAGCAAGAGCAGCCCGAGAUUGAGCCUCCUGCUGAACAAAAAACUGAUGACGAUGUUGUAGAGGUCGAGAUGUCUAACGCAUCAGCAAUGUCAAAGAGGCGACUAAGUGCCGAUUUUUGGAAAGAGUUUAAUAUGCUGCCUCCGGGGCCGGAUAAGAAGCAAUGGUGUUCGUGUAAAAGAUGUGGUGCCACAUAUGCUUGUCCGAGUACCUAUGGGACAGGUAAUUUGCAUAAACACUUAGAGAGGUGUAAGCGGAGAGAUACGAUAGAUAUUGGGCAGUUGCUUAUAAGUUGUGAUCAUGGGUCUGUUUUUUUAGGAACUAAGAAGUUUGAUCAACAGAAAUUUAGGGAGUUAUUAGUUGUUGCUAUAAUUAUGCAUUGCCAACCAUAUCAAUUCGUAGAAUAUGAGGGUUUUCGAGCUGUGUUUCGUUAUUUAAAUGAGAAUGUCCAGACAAUCUCAAGAAAUACUUGCAAAUCUAAUGUGAAUAAGUUGUAUGCUAGAGAGAAAGAAAGGCUAAAAUCUUUGUUGCAAUCAUCUCCGGGUAGAAUUUUUUUGACAUCAGAUUUAUGGUCUUCUAUAAUUUUAGAUGGUUAUUUGUCUUUAACUGCACAUUUUGUUGACAAAGAUUGAAAUUUGCAAAAAAGUGUACUAAAUUACACUCUAAUGUCACAUCCUCAUACGGGUGUGAAUUUAAGUGAAAAGAUUUACUCAUUACUUUGUGAGUGGGGUAUUGAGCAUAAAGUGUUUGCAAUGACUUUGGAUAAUGCGAGUGCAAAUAUUUGCUUUAUUAAUUUGCUGAUUUCUCAAUUAAAUAUAAGAAAUUUGUUGGUGAGUGAUGGUGAUUAUGUGCAUAUACGUUGUUGUGCACAUAUCUUGAAUCUAGUUGUACAAGAUGGUUUGAAGGUGAUUGGUGAAUGCCUUGAAAAUAUUAGAGAGACUAUUAAGUAUUUGAAAGGGUCACAAGUGACAUAAACAAAGUUUAUUGAAUGUGUUAAAAAUAUGACAAUUGAGCUUAAAAAGGGGUUAAGACAAGAUUGUUCAACAAGAUGAAAUUCCACUUAUGUGAUGCUUGAUGAGGCUUUUAUAUUAUCGUCGUGCUUUUUGCCAUUUGGAGCUUUGUGAUUCAAGUUACACAUAUUGCCCUUAGAAGGAUGAGUGGGACAAAGCGGAAAAGAUUUGUAAGUUUUUUAGUGUCUUUUCUGAGAUAACUCAGUUAUUUUCUGGAAGUAAGUAUCCUACUUCGAAUUUGUACUUCCCGUUGGUUGCAAUUGCUCAUUUAACUUUAAAGGAUAAGUUGAAUAGUGAGGAUUAUUUUAUGAGUUCCAUGGCAGCUAAGAUGUAUGAAAAAUUUUCUAAAUAUUGGGCUGAUUUUAGCACCAUCUUGGCUAUUACUUGCAUCCUUGAUCCUCGAUACAAGCUGAGUGAUUUCUUUUAUAAGAAAUUUUAUGGUGAUGAUUCCUUGCAAUUCAGGGAUCUUAAAAACAAGCUCUUUUCACUUUUUAACAAGUAUUUUGUUAAGGUGUCUUCGGGUGCAAGUGCAGGGACCUCAACUCAAAGACGAGGUGGCCUGAAUAUGUGUGAAAAUAUUUUUGCUAACGAGGCAGAAGAUGUAAUGAAGGACAUGAUAGGGAGAGAAAACAAACGUGCAGGACAAAAUAUAUGCAGCCGUUGGAUGUUUAAUGAUUGGAUGGCCAGGAUUAGGUCUCUACAGUCUCCAAAUAAUCCAGUCUCCAUAGAACUUUCUUCUAUAUAUAUAAACACACACACACACAUAUAGAGUCUAUGUUUAUGUAUAUUUUUCAACAAAUUAACGUACAUAGAUUUAUCAUAUAUUAAAAUAUAAUAUCUGUAGUCAUUGCAUUAAUAGCAAUUGAGAGGUUUCAAAAUAUUUUUUGUUAAAUUUGGGACCCAUACAAUCAUGUAAUUGUUUAUAUAUAUAUUGGGACCUUUAGGCGGAUGCACAUUACCAAACCAAAAACACACACAAACUCAUUCAGGCCAAAAACUAUCUCCAGCUUAAUAAAAAAUGUUGAAAUCAUCUUCCUCCUCGUCCACCACCAUUGCUAAGAACAAACAGGCUAAUUCCCCCACUUUCAUUGAUAACGCCGUGCCCAAUUCCUCUUCCACCGCCGUUACUAAGAGCAAGCAGACAAAUUUCCCCAAUUCCAAUGAUAACACCAGGCCUAAUUCUUCAUCAUUGCUUGUGAAUUGUGAUUGAUGCACAAACUGAGCCUAGAGCACCAGC